rnacentral:rRNA from 1 species
UACGUAGGUGGCAAACGUUAUCCGGAUUUAUUGGGCGUAAAGAGAGUGUAGGCGGCUUGUUAAGUCGAGUGUUAAAUCUCCUGACUCAAUCAGGAGCUGCAUUUGAUACUGGCAGGCUUGAGGGCAGCAGAGGAAAACGGAAUUUCCAGUGUAGCGGUGAAAUGCGUUGAUAUUGGGAAGAACACCAGAGGCGAAGGCGGUUUUCCAGGCUGUUUCUGACGCUGAGACUCGAAAGCGUGGGGAGCGAAGCGGAUUAGAUACCCCCGUA